rnacentral:lncRNA from 1 species
CACAAAGUUUGUGGCCACAAAAGAAAGGGUGGGAUUGUUUUUGGGGUAAUGGUCCCAAGCACCUUUUCUAGUUUUACAGACAAUAACUUUUGGAAAGGUGUAUGGAUCUCUCUGAAAUUAAACCACAAGUUUCCAUACCACAAAGGGAUGGUAAGAAUUAGCUUUUAGGGGUAAUGACUCAAACCGUUUAGGAAUUAGGGGCAAAAAAGGGGGAAACAAGGG